GACGUAGGAGGCGAGCGUUAUCCGGAUUCACUGGGCGUAAAGCGCACGUAGGCGGUUGUGCAAGUCAUGUGUUAAAGCCCCUGGCUCAACUGGGGGAGGUCAUGUGAGACUGCGCGACUUGAGGGCAACAGAGGCAUGUGGAACUCCCGGUGUAGCGGUGGAAUGCAUAGAGAUCGGGAAGAACACCCGUGGCGAAGGCGGCAUGCUGGGUUGCGACUGACGCUGAGUUGCGAAAGUGUGGGGAGCAAACGGG
rnacentral:rRNA from 1 species